rnacentral:rRNA from 1 species
UGGCGACCGGCGCACGGGUGGGUAACGCGUAUCCAACCUGCCUUACACUCUUGGACAGCCUUCUGAAAGGGAGAUUAAUACAAGAUGUUAUCAUGAGUAAGCAUUUUCACAUGAUUAAAGGUUUACCGGUGUAAGAUGGGGAUGCGUUCCAUUAGAUAGUAGGCGGGGUAACGGCCCACCUAGUCUUCGAUGGAUAGGGGUUCUGAGAGGAAGGUCCCCCACAUUGGAACUGAGACACGGUCCAA